rnacentral:lncRNA from 1 species
AGGGCUCCAUAUUGUAGGUAGGGUACCCUAGAAAUAUAGGAUUUUUCAGCCCUUGUAUUUUUGGGCACCUAGACUAGUUUUUGUAUUAGGGGUAGUUUUGUAAUUUCACAUGCACUAAGUGGAUAUUUGAUGUGUGUGAUUGGAAAUAAAUUUAAUUGAAUUGGUAGAAGCCCAAUCCAAUUAAAUUUUAGAGGGGGAGGUGAGCAUUUGCUUACUACACCCCAUUGCCACAUCAUAUAGUCACACUUUGUGCAUGUCCUUCAUGCUUUUCAUGCCUCAUGACACCUAAGCACACUUAGUGGAGAAUCUUGUAAUUGAUCUUGGAUUAGUGGGCUGAACCAUAACUAAAAUUCACUAAUCAUAAUUAGUGAAAUUUUGGCUCCAAAGUUUGGCUCCACAAAUUCAAUUUCAAAUUCAAGUGAAAUUUGAAUUUCCC